GACGAACGCUGGCGGCGUGCUUAACACAUGCAAGUCGAACGGAAAGGCCCUGCUUUUGUGGGGUGCUCGAGUGGCGAACGGGUGAGUAACACGUGAGUAACCUGCCCUUGACUUUGGGAUAACUUCAGGAAACUGGGGCUAAUACCGGAUAGGAGCUCCUGCUGCAGGGUGGGGGUUGGAAAGUUUCGGCGGUUGGGGAUGGACUCGCGGCUUAUCAGCUUGUUGGUGGGGUAGUGGCUUACCAAGGCUUUGACGGGUAGCCGGCCUGAGAGGGUGACCGGCCACAUUGUGACUGAGAUACGGCCCAGACUCCUACGGGAGGCAGCAGUGGGGAAUAUUGCACAAUGGGCGGAAGCCUGAUGCAGCAACGCCGCGUGCGGGAUGACGGCCUUCGGGUUGUAAACCGCUUUCGCCUGUGACGAAGCGUGAGUGACGGUAAUGGGUAAAGAAGCACCGGCUAACUACGUG
rnacentral:rRNA from 1 species